UUCUUUUCUUGAAACGACUAAAACUCUGCUUUUUCUUUUUUUUUGCAUUUCCUAAUCUGUUCUUCCGCGUACGUUCAAGACUUCAAGUCAAAACCUUUUAUAGUAGUUCUCACAUCCUCAGAGAGAGACAAGCAUAGUCAUAGAGGCAUCAUCACCGUAGAAGAUGGCGGUUAAACGAGAGAAGCUUGUUUCGUUUGUGUAAGUCGUCGUCUAUGGUUUUCAUCAUUCGGCUUAAUUGGUGCUGGAGAGACUAAAUUAAAUCUCUAUGUAUAAUAGAUGUAUGUUAGGAUAUAAAUGAGAAUGAAUGACGUAGAGAGUUAUGUUCGUAUUAAUUAGAUGUAGGGGAUGUAUGUAUAGGGUAAGGAUGAGAAUGAAUGACGUAUGUGUAUAGAUGAUACACAUAGGGUCUUUACUUUUUUACUCUUAGAUGGAUGUAUAGGAUUACUAUUAGAUGUAUGUAUAGGGAGUGGAUGAAAAGUGAAUGAUGUAUGUAAA